rnacentral:rRNA from 1 species
GAUGAACGCUGGCGGCGUGCUUAACACAUGCAAGUCGAACGGAAAGGCCCUGCUUUUGUGGGGUGCUCGAGUGGCGAACGGGUGAGUAACACGUGAGUAACCUGCCCUUGACUUUGGGAUAAAUUCAGGAAACUGGGGCUAAUAUCGGAUAGGAGCUCCUGCUGCAUGGUGGGGGUUGGAAAGUUUCGGCGGUUGGGGAUGGACUCGCGGCUUAUCAGCUUGUUGGUGGGGUAGUGGCUUACCAAGGCUUUGACGGGUAGCCGGCCUGAGAGGGUGACCGGCCUCAUGGGGACUGCGAUACGGCCCAGUCUCCUACGGGAGGCAGCAGGGGGGAAUAUUGCACAAUGGGCGGAAGCCUGAUGCAGCAACGCCGCGUGCGGGAUGACGGCCUUCGGGUUGUAAACCGAUUUCGCCUGUGACGAGGCGUGAGUGACGGUAAUGGGUAAAGAAGCACCGGCUAACUACGUG